rnacentral:tRNA from 1 species
AUAAAGUUGGCAGAAUAUAUGCAAAUGAAUUAGGAUCAUUUAAUAAGAGUUUUUCUUACUUUAU